AUUGAACGCUGGCGGCAUGCCUUACACAUGCAAGUCGAACGGCAGCGGGCCUUCGGGUGCCGGCGAGUGGCGAACGGGUGAGUAAUGCAUCGGAACGUGCCAUUGAGUGGGGGAUAACGUAGCGAAAGUUACGCUAAUACCGCAUAUUCUGUGAGCAGGAAAGCAGGGGACCGCAAGGCCUUGCGCUCUUUGAGCGGCCGAUGUCAGAUUAGCUAGUUGGUGAGGUAAAGGCUUACCAAGGCGACGAUCUGUAGCGGGUCUGAGAGGAUGAUCCGCCACACUGGAACUGAGACACGGUCCAGACUCCUACGGGAGGCAGCAGUGGGAAUUUUGGACAAUGGGCGCAAGCCUGAUCCAGCCAUGCCGCGUGAGUGAAGAAGGCC
rnacentral:rRNA from 1 species